UAUGACAGAUUUUAAUAGGGCGAGAU
rnacentral:sRNA from 1 species